rnacentral:rRNA from 1 species
UAGGGAAUCUUCCGCAAUGGACGCAAGUCUGACGGAGCAACGCCGCGUGAGUGAAGAAGGAUCUCGGUUCGUAAAACUCUGUUGUUAGAGAAGAACAGCGCAUAGAGUAACUGUUAUGCGUGUGACGGUAUCUAACCAGAAAGCCACGGCUAACUACGUGCCAGCAGCCGCGGUAAUACGUAGGUGGCAAGCGUUGUCCGGAUUUAUUGGGCGUAAAGCGAGCGCAGGCGGUUAGAUAAGUCUGAAGUUAAAGGCAGUGGCUCAACCAUUGUAGGCUUUCGAAACUGUUUAACUUGAGUGCAGAAGGGGAGAGUGGAAUUCCAUGUGUAGCGGUGAACUGCGUAGAUAUAUGGAGGAACACCGGUGGCGAAAGCGGCUCUCUGGUCUGUAACUGACGCUGAGGCUCGAAAGCGUGGGGAGCGAACAGG